rnacentral:rRNA from 1 species
UACGGAGGGUGCGAGCGUUGUCCGGAAUCACUGGGCGUAAAGGGCGCGUAGGCGGCCUGAUAAGUAGGGGGUGAAAUCCUGCGGCUUAACCGCAGGGCUGCCUUCUAAACUGUCGGGCUAGAGCACGGUAGAGGCAGAUGGAAUUCCCGGUGUAGCGGUGAAAUGCGUAGAUAUCUGGAGGAAUACCGGUGGCGAAGGCGGCAUCCUGGACCGACAUUGACGCUGAGGAGCGAAAGCUAGGGGAGCAAACGGG